rnacentral:rRNA from 1 species
GCUUGUCUCAAAGAUUAAGCCAUGCAUGUCUAAGUAUAAAUAACUACACAGUAAAACUGCGAAUGGCUCAUUAAAACAGUUAUAGUUUAUUUGAUACAUUAUAAAUGGAUAACUGUAGAAACACUAGAGCUAAUACAUGCCAAGCCCGCAAGGGCGUAUUUAUUAGAUAUUCCAAGUAGGUGAUUCAUAAUAACUUCGCAAAUCUCAGUAAUACUGAGAUAAAUCAUUCAAGUUUCUGCCCUAUCAUGCUCUCGAUGGUAGUGUAUUGGACUACCAUGGCUCUCACGGGUAACGGGGAAUUAGGGUUCGAUUCCGGAGAAGGAGCCUGAGAAACGGCUACUACAUCUAAGGAAGGCAGCAGG